GUGAGGAAUAUUGCGCAAUGGGGGCAACUCUGACGCAGCCAUGCCGCGUGCAGGAAGAAGGCGCUACGCGUUGUAAACUGCUUUUAACCGGGAAGAAACCCCAGGACGUGUCCUGGGUUGACGGUACCGGAGGAAUAAGCACCGGCUAACUUCGUGCCAGCAGCCGCGGUAAUACGAAGGGUGCAAGCGUUAUCCGGAUUCAUUGGGUUUAAAGGGUGCGUAGGCGGAGCGUUAAGUCAGUGGUGAAAUCCUGCAGCUUAACUGUAGACUUGCCAUUGAUACUGGCGCUCUUGAGUGCGCUUGAAGUGGGCGGAAUGUGCCGUGUAGCGGUGAAAUGCUUAGAUAUGGCACAGAACACCAAUUGCGAAGGCAGCUCACUAAGGCGAUACUGACGCUGAGGCACGAAAGCGUGGGGAUCGAACAGGAUUAGAAACCCCUUAGUCC
rnacentral:rRNA from 1 species